rnacentral:rRNA from 1 species
UCUGACACAGGUGCUGCAUGGCGUGUCGUCAGCUCGUGUCGUGAGAUGUUGGGUUAAGUCCGUAACGAGCGCAACCUUGUCCUUAGUUACCAGCACGUUAUGGUGGGCACUCUAAGGAGACUGCCGGUGACAAACCGGAGGAAGGUGGGGAGUGACGUCAAGUCAUCAUGGCCCUUACGGCCUGGGCUACACACGUGCUACAAUGGUCGGUACAAAGGGUUGCCAAGCCGCGAGGUGGAGCUAAUCCCAUAAAACCGAUCGUAGUCCGGAUCGCAGUCUGCAACUCGACUGCGUGAAGUCGGAAUCGCUAGUAAUCGUGAAUCAGAAUGUCACGGUGAAUACGUUCCCGGGCCUU